rnacentral:rRNA from 1 species
UACGUAGGGUGCGAGCGUUGUCCGGAAUUACUGGGCGUAAAGAGUUCGUAGGCGGUUUGUCGCGUCGUUCGUGAAAACUUGGGGCUUAACUCCAAGCGUGCGGGCGAUACGGGCAGGCUUGAGUUCGGUAGGGGAGACUGGAAUUCCUGGUGUAGCGGUGAAAUGCGCAGAUAUCAGGAGGAACACCGGUGGCGAAGGCGGGUCUCUGGGCCGAUACUGACGCUGAGGAGCGAAAGCGUGGGGAGCGAACAGG